UUUGGGACACGGAGGUGCCUCGUAAAGUCUCGCUUCAUUCCGAGUCCGGCGGACGAAGGUGGCCAGUCCCACCCCCCAAGGCUAUAGCCCACCCGUAUUUUUGGCAUUUUUCCGCGGGACUUACUUGGCGCCCCGGCCUUCGGACGGUUAUUUUUAGUCACGGCUGUGUCCGCGGCCUAUUUUCGGCACACGGAGGUGGCUCGCAAUGUCUCGAACCAUUCGGAGUACGGCGGAGGAAGUUGGCCAGCCCCACCCCCCAAGGCUAUAGCCCACCCGUUUUUGUGGCCUUUUUCCGCAGGACGAACUUGGCACCCCGGCCUUCGGGCGGGUAUUUUUCGGCGCAGCUGUGCCCGCAGCCUGUUUUUGGCACACGGAGGCGCAUCACAAGGUCUCGCCCCAUUCUGAGUCCGGCGGACGAAGUUGGCCAGCCCCACCCCCCAAGGCUAUAGCCCACCCGUUUUUGUGGCCUUUUUCCGCAGGACGAACUUGGCGCCCCGGCCGUCAGACGGUUAUUUUUGGUCGCGGCUGUGCCGCGGCCUAUUUUUGGCACACGGAGGUGCCUUGCAAAGUCUCGCGCCAUUCCGAGUCCGGCGGACGAAGUUGGCCAGCCCCACCGCCAAAGGCAAUAGCCCACCCGUUUUUGUGGCCUUUUUCCGCUGGACGAAUUUGGCGACCCGGCCGUCGGACGGUUAUUUUUGGUCGCGGCUGUCCCGUAGCCUAUUUUUGGCACACGAGGUGCCUCGCAAAGUCUCGCGCCAUUCCGAGUCCGGCGGACGAAGUUGGCCAGCCCCACCCCCCAAGGCUAUAGCCCACCCGUUUUUUUGGCCUUUUUCCGCUGGACGAAGUUGGCCAGCCCCACCCCCCAAGGCUGUAGCCCACCCGUUUUUGUGGCCUUUUUCCGCUGGACGAAUUUGGCGACCCGGCCUUCGGGCGGUUAUUUUUGGGCGCGGCUGUGCCCACGGCCUAUUUUUGGCACACGUUGGCGCCUCGCAAAGUCUCGCGCCAUUCUGAGUCCGGCGGACGAAGUUGGCCAGCCCCACACCCCAAGGCUAUAGCCCACCCAUUUUUGUGACCUUUUUCCGCUGGACAAACUUGGCGCCCCGGCCUUCGGGGUGUUAUUUUUGGGCGCGGCCGUGCCUGUGGCCUAUUUUUGGCACACGAAGGUGCCUCGCAAAGUCUCGCGCCAUUCCGAGUCCGGCGGACGAAUUGGGCCAACCCCACCGCCCAAGGCUAUAGCCCACCCGUUUUUGUGGAUUUUUUCCGCUGGAAGAACUUGGCGCCCCGGCCUUCGGACGGUUAUUUUUGGUCGCGGCCGUGUCCGCGGCCUAUUUUUGGCACACGGCGGUGCCUCGCAAAGUCUCGAACCAUUCGGAGUACGGCGGACGAAGUUGGCCAGCCCCACCCCCCAAGGCUAUUGCCCACCCGUUUUUGUGGCCUUUUUCCGCAGGACGAACUUGGCGCCCCGGCCUUCGGGCGGAUAUUUUUCGGUGCGGCUGUGCCCGCAGCCUGUUUUUGGCACACGGAGGUGCAUCGCAAGGUCUCGCCCCAUUCCGAGUCCGGCGGACGAAGUUGGCGAGCCCCACCCCCCAAGGCCAUAGCCCACCCGUGUUUGUGGACUUUUUCCGCUGGACGAACUUGGCGCCCCGGCCUUCGGGGUGUUAUUUUUGGGCGCGGCUGUGCCCGCGGCCUAUUUUUGGUACUCGGAGGCGCCUCGCAAAGUCUCGCGCCAUUCUGAGUCCGGCGGACGAAGUUGGCCCACCCCACCCCCCAAGGCUAUAGGCCACCCGUUUUUGUGGCCUUUUUCUGCUGGACGAACUUGGCGCCCCGGCCUUCGGGGUGUUAUUUUUGGGCGCGGCCUAUUUUUGGCACAUGGAGGCACCUCGCAAAGUCUCGCACCAUUUCGAGUCCGGCGGACGGUGUUGGCCAGCCCCACCCCCCAAUGCUAUAGCCCACCCGUUUUUGUGGCCUUUUUCCGCUGGACGAACUUGGCGGCCCGGCCUUCGGGCGGUUAUUUUUGGGGGCGGCUGUGACCGCGGCGUAUUUUUGGCACACGGAGGACGCUCGUAAAGUCUCGCGCCAUUCCAAGUGCGGCGGACGAAGUUGGCCAGCCCCACCCCCCAAGGCUAUAGCCCUCCCGUUUUUGUGGCCUUUUUCCGCGGGACGAACUUGGCGCCCCGGUGUUCGGGCGGUUAUUUUUGGACGGGGCUGUGCCCGUGGCCUAUAUUUGGCACACGGAGGCCGCUCGCAAAGACUCGCGCCAUUCCGAGUCCGGCAGAUGAAGUUGGCCAGCCCCACCCCCCAAGGCUAUAGCCCACCCGUUUUUCUGGCCUUUUUCCGCUGGACGAACUCGGAUCCCCCGGCCUUCCGGAGGUUAUUUUUGGGUACUGCUGUGCCCGCGGCCUAUUUUUGGCACACGGAGGUGCCUCGCAAAGUCUCGCGCCAUUCCGAGUCCGGCGGACGAAGUUGGCCAGCCCCACCCCCCAAGGCUAUAGCCCACCCGUUUUUGUGGCCUUUUUCCGCUGGACGAACUCGGCGCCCCGGCCUUCGGGCGGUUAUUUUUGGGCGCGGCUGUGCCCGUGGCCUAUUUUUGGCUCACGGAGGCCACUCGCAAAGUCUCGUGCCAUUCCGAGUCCGGCGGACGAAGUGGGCCAGCCCCACCCCCCAAGGCUAUAGCCCACCCGUUUUCGUGGCCUUUUUCCGCUGGACGAACUUGGUGCCCCGGCCUUCGGGCGGUUAUUUUUGGGCGCGGCUGUGCCCGCGGUCUAUUUUUGGCACACGGAGGCCGCUCGCAAAGUCUCGCGCCAUUCCGAGUCCGGCGGACGAAGUCGGCCAGCCGCACCCCCCAAGGCUAUAGCCCACCAGUUUUUUUGGGCUUGUUCUGCUGGACGAACAUGACGCCCUGGCCUUCGCGCGGUUAUUUUUGGGCGCGGCUGUGCCCGCGGCCUAUUUUUGGCACAUGGAGGCCGCUCGCAAAGUCUCGCGCCAUUCCGAGUCCGGCGGACGAAGUUUGCCAGCCCCACCCGUUUUUGUGGCCUUUUUCCGCUGGACGAACUUGGCGCCCCGGCGUUCGGGUGGUUAUUUUUGGGAGCGGCUGUGCCCGCGGCCUAUUUUUGGCACACGAGGGCCGGCCGCAAAUUCUGGGGGCAUUCCGAGUCCGGCGGACGAAGUUUGCCAGCCCCACCCCCAAGGCUAUAGCCCACCCGUUUUUUGGCCAUUUUUCCGCUGGGGGGUCUUGGCACCCCGACCUUCGGGGGCUAGUUUUUGGGCGCGGCUGUGCCCGUGGCCUAUUUUUGGCACACGGAGGCCGCCCGCAAAGUCUGGGGCCAUUCCGAGUCCGGCGGACGAACUUCGCCCAAGCCCCCCUCCAAGGCUAUAGCCCACCCGUUUUUUGGCCAUUUUUCCGCUGGGGGUCUUGGCACCCCGACCUUCGGGGGCUAAUUUUUGGGCACGGCUGUGCCCGUGGGCUAUUUUUGGCACACAAGGACCGCCCGCAAAGUCUGGGGCCAUUCCGAGCCCUGCGGACGAACUUCGCCCAAGCCCCCCUCCAAGGCUAUAGCCCACCCGUUUUUUGGCCAUUUUUCCGCUGGGGGUCUUGGCACCCCGACCUUCGGGGGCUAAUUUUUGGGCACGGCUGUGCCCGUGGGCUAUUUUUGGCACACAAGGACCGCCCGCAAAGUCUGGGGCCAUUCCGAGCCCUGCGGACGAACUUCGCCCACGCCCCCCACCAAGGCUAUAGCCCACCCGUUUUUUGGCCAUUUUUCCGCUGGGGGGUCUUGGCACCCCGACCUUCGGGGGCUAAUUUUUGGGCACGGCUGUGCCCGUGGGCUAUUUUUGGCACACGAGGGCCGCCCGCAAAGUCUGGGGCCAUUCCGAGUCCGGCGGACGAACUUCGCCCACGCCCCCCACCAAGGCUAUAAACCACCCGUUUUUUGGCCAUUUUUCCGCUGGGGUGUCUUGGCACCCCGACCUUCGGGGGCUAAUUUUUGGGCGCGGCUGUGUCCGUGGCCUAUUUUUGGCAGACGAGGGCCGCCCGUAAAGUCUGGGGCCAUUCCGAGCCCUGCGGACGAACUUCGCCCACGCCCCCCACCAAAGCUAUAAACCACCCGUUUUUUGGCCAUUUUUCCGCUGGGGGGUCUUGGCACCCCGACCUUCGGGGGCUAAUUUUUGGGCGCGGCUGUGUCCGUGGCCUAUUUUUGGCAGACGAGGGCCGCCCGUAAAGUCUGGGGCCAUUCCGAGCCCUGCGGACGAACUUCGCCCACGCCCCCCACCAAGGCUAUAGCCCACCCGUUUUUUGGCCAUUUUUCCGCUGGGGGGUCUUGGCACCCCGACCUUCGGGGGCUAAUUUUUGGGCACGGCUGUGCCCGUGGGCUAUUUUUGGCACACGAGGGCCGCCCGCAAAGUCUGGGGCCAUUCCGAGCCCUGCGGACGAACUUCGCCCACGCCCCCCACCAAGGCUAUAGCCCACCCGUUUUUUGGCCAUUUUUCCGCUGGCGAACUCGGCGCCCCGGCCUUCCGGAGGUUAUUUUUGGGUACUGCUGUGCCCGCGGCCUAUUUUUGGCACACGGAGGUGCCUCGCAAAGUCUCGCGCCAUUCCGAGUCCGGCGGACGAAGUUGGCCAGCCCCACCCCCCAAGGCUAUAGCCCACCCGUUUUUGUGGGCUUUUUCCGCUGGACGAACUUGGCGCCCCGGCCUUCGGGCGGUUAUUUUUGGGCGCGGCUGUGCCCGUUGCCUAUUUUUGGCACACGGAGGUGCCUCUCAAAGUCUUGCGCCAUUCCGAGUCCGGCGGACUAAGUUGGCCAGCCGCACCGCACAAGGCUAUAGCCCACCCGUUUUGGUGGCGUUUUUCCGCUUGACGAACUAGGCGCCCCGGCCUUCGGGCGGUUANNNNNNNNNNNNNNNNNNNNNNNNNNNNNNNNNNNNNNNNNNNNNNNNNNNNNNNNNNNNNNNNNNNNNNNNNNNNNNNNNNNNNNNNNNNNNNNNNNNNNNNNNNNNNNNNNNNUAGUCCACACGUUUUUGUGGCCUUUUUUCCGCUGGACGAACUAGGGCGCCCGGGCCUUCGGGCGGUUAUUUUUGAGCGGGGCUGUGACCACGGCCUAUUUUUGGUACACGGAGGCGCCUCGCAAAGUCUCGCGCCAUUCCGAGUCCGGCGGACGAAGUUGGCCAGCCGCACCCCCCAAGGCUAUAGCCCACCCGUUUUUGUGGCAUUUUUCCGCUGGACGAACUUGGCGCCCCGGCCUUCGGGCGGUUAUUAUUGGACACGGCUGUUCCCGCGGCCUAUUUUUGGCAAACGGAGGCGUCUCGCAAAGUCUCGCGCCAUUCCGAGUCCGGUGGUCGAAGUUGGCCAGCCCCACCCCCCAAGGCUAUAGCCCACCCGUUUUUGUGGGCUUUUUCCGCUGGACGAACUUGCCGCUCCGGCCUUCGGGCGGUUAUUUUUGGGCGCAGCUGUGCCCGUGGCCUAUUUUUGGCACACGGAGGCGCCUCGUAAAGUCUCGCGCCAUUCCGAGUCCGGCGGACGAAGUUGGCCAGCCCCACCCCCCAAGGCUAUAGCCCACCCGUUUUUGUGGCCUUUUUCCGCUGGACGAAAGUGGCGAACCGGCCAUCGGGCGGUUAUUUUUGGGCACGGCUAUGCUCGCGGCAUAUUUUUGGCACACGGAGGCGGCUCGCAAAGUCUCGUGCCAUUCCGAGUCCGGCGGACGAAGUUGGCCAGCCCCACCCCCCAAGGCUAUAGCGCACCCGUUUUUGUGGGCUUUUUCCGCUGGACGAAAUUGCGCCCCGGCCUUCGGGCGGUUCUUUUUGGGCACGGCUGUUCCCGCAGCCUAUU
rnacentral:lncRNA from 1 species